rnacentral:rRNA from 1 species
UACGGGGGGGGCUAGCGUUGUUCGGAAUUACUGGGCGUAAAGGGCGCGUAGGCGGCCUACUAAGUCGGACGUGAAAUCCCUCGGCUCAACCGGGGAACUGCGUCCGAUACUGGUGGGCUCGAAUCCGGGAGAGGGAUGUGGAAUUCCAGGUGUAGCGGUGAAAUGCGUAGAUAUCUGGAGGAACACCAAUAGCGAAGGCAGCUCGCUGGGACGGUAUUGACGCUGAGGCGCGAAAGCGUGGGGAGCAAAUAGG